rnacentral:rRNA from 1 species
UACGUAGGGAGCAAGCGUUGUCCGGAUUUACUGGGCGUAAAGGGAGCGUAGGCGGACUUUUAAGUGAGAUGUGAAAUACUCGGGCUCAACUUGAGUGCUGCAUUUCAAACUGGAAGUCUAGAGUGCAGGAGAGGAGAAUGGAAUUCCUAGUGUAGCGGUGAAAUGCGUAGAGAUUAGGAAGAACACCAGUGGCGAAGGCGAUUCUCUGGACUGUAACUGACGCUGAGGCUCGAAAGCGUGGGGAGCAAACAGG